GACUAUACGUCUCUACUUUAUCUUGGCUAAAGGGUUGGUUAAAUGAUUAAAUCCUACGUUCUUCAUACUUUGGCAACUUAUAGCAAAUCUACAAAAGAAACAUUAAAAAAGAAUGCAACGUAUAGCAAAACAAUUCAUUCUCAAUUCUCCGCUUUCAUCUUCUUCAUCCUUAAACCCUAAACCUCUGAAAAAAAAAAAAACAAAUUCCGCCAUUAAAUUUUCUUGACGACAAACCCUAAUUAACAGAGAAAAAACAAUGCAACUCUUCGACCUAAACAUUCCAUACCUAGAAUCCGAGAAAUCAAUCUCAGACAAAUCUUCAAAAAAGCAAACUCGACUCAAGCUAAUCGUCAAAUCAAUGGAGUUAGGUUACACUGGAAUCGCUUACAAUCGUACGAUUAAAGGUAUAAUGUCCGAAUCUGACCGUUGCACUAUUUCUCCAUUUCCUCUCUCUUCUCUCCUCAAUGUAUCUCCUUCUCUCUCCUCAACUGUUUCCUUUCAUCGUCGUCUCCUCGGAGUUUCCGAAAACUCUGCGUUUCGACAGUAUACUCGUUUAACAAUGGUGGUUGAAACCUCAACUCAAGCUUCGGCGUUGAAUUCCGGUAAUCCGGUUCUUAAGACUUAUGAUUUGAUCGCUGUUAAACCUUUGAACCAGAAUUCAUUUGAUCUUGCAUGUCAAUCGAUGCAGGUUGAUUUGAUUUCGAUUGACUUUGCUGAGAAAUUGCCGUUUCGUUUGAAGCUUCCUAUGGUGAAAGCUGCGAUUGCGCGAGGGGUGUAUUUCGAGAUUAUGUACUCGAGUCUUAUGCAAGAUGCUCAAGUGAGAAGGCAAAUGAUCUCCAAUGCCAAGUUAUUGGUGGAGUGGACUCAAGGCAAGAACCUGAUUGUAUCCAGUGCUGCUCCUUCUGUUCUUGAGCUCAGAGGUCCAAAUGAUGUGGCUAAUCUGUUAUCGUUGCUUGGUCUUUCAAAUGAGUGUGCAAAAGCGACUAUAUCUAAGAAUUGCAGUGUUUUAAUAGGAAAUGCUGUAAGGAAAAAGCAAUUCUAUAAGGAGGCGAUCAGAGUUGAAGUGAUGCCACCUGGAGUGCAAACUGAUCCCAAAGAGCCUUGGAUAGUUGAUCAUGUUGAUUGGGAUCCGUUAACUAGUGGUGAAGGUGAUUUGCUUUUAGAUGAUAUGGCAAAAGCAUUUGCUGAGUCUGGAAAAGUCUCCCAAACUGAUAAAGGUGUUAGAUUUUCUUCGUUUGUUGAUAGUGUGCAAUCACAUGGUUUACAAGGAAAUGACGUAGGUUUCAGAAUUGAGGGUAAAGUAUCUGCUUCUGAUAAAUCUACGGACCUUCUCUCAACUUCCAAGAAUCUUGAGGUGUCAAAAAAGAGUGAGAAGCCGCAGAACAGCAGUAGUCUAUUGAAUCAACAGUACUAUGCUGUUGACGAGCCUCAGAACGCAGUCCUUGAUUCUCCAAUGGAUUCGUUGGAGCUAAAGAACUUGAAUGCAGUGCAGACCACUACCUCUCCAAUCAUAUCACGUGAUCCAGAGCUGCAGAAUGAUGUUAGUAUUCUUGAAAAUCAUGUCUUGCUCACUGACAAUGUGAAGGAAGUAACCUUAAAAGAUGUUUGCUUGGAUGUGGGAUGUAUUGCUGGUUCAAGAAUGGAAGUCAUAACGAAAUCUGAGAAUCUUGAUCGCAACGAUGCGCAAACUGAUGAUUUAAAGCUAGCUUCUGGUGUAUUGAACCCGACAAAUGCUGGUAUCUCAACUGACAAACAAUUAAGUGAUGAAUCAGGCUUAUCCCUCUCUCCUGAUGUAUCUUUGGGUGGAAAUCUACUGGAGCUGAAAGAAGAUCCAUUAGCUGAUAGAAAUGCGAUUCAACAUGAUGGAAAUGUGAUGGAUGUGGACUCCUUUAUUGAGAAGAACGGUAGUGAGGAGAUGUGCAAAAAGAAAGAGCAAAAGAAAGAUCACUCUGAAGUCAAGAUUGACAGCAAAAAAACUAUUGCUGCUGAUACCAUGAUGCUAGUAGAUCCACUAAAACAGGAAAAACAAAGCAAUGACCUUUCAGCUGCAACAUCCACUCUUUCAGAUGACAAGAUCACAGAACGUAGAAUACAAGUAACAGAGAUAGGAGAAGCUGGGCACCUAUCUUUAGGUGAAAAUGAAUUAGGUAACCUUAAGGUGAAGUGGCAGCACAAAAGCCAAAUUCUGAGGUUUCCUUUUAAGCGAUUAUUACAAGUUCCAUUUAAGAAGAAAGGGAGGUCUUCCAUGUACAAAACUAAGAAGAGGUUUGUUUGUAGGGAAUAAAACCAGGUCACCCUGCAUCCAGUUCUUGCUAUCUGAGUAAGAGGAACCUUGCAACUUUUCCUGCCUCCAACAGCUGAUUGUUGAACAAGCUGAACGGAAGCUGCUAGUGGAUAAAUCUUUGCCGAAAGGUGUGUCUGGGAGUCCCUAGUUGACCCCAUGCAGGUUGCGGCUCCAUGUCGAUCUAAGCAGUGAUCACUAUGUCGUCUAACUGCUAAUGGUCGUUCAUGGAACCAAAUUGGCUGAAAGGGAGUUCAGGAGAUGAAUCCACUGCCCUUCAUCUUCUUCGUCUUCUUCACCUGCCAUUUGAUUCCAUUGUAGGUCUGGAAAUUCAGGCUGUUCGAUUUCAUCAUUCCUUGCAAAUCGACCCCUAACUCUUGGCCUGCUAUCAGCUAAUGUCUUCCUGCAUGCAUACUGAUGGCCAAUCAUUGCAACCAUAGAAAAAUUAGGUUUCGUCUAUGAUAAAGAUACAAAUUGUGUUAAUAAAAUAUUAAUAAAUAAUAUAGACUAGUGUAAAGAUUUUUCCUCGUAAAUAUUGAAAUUUAGCUCUUGAAUUGCUUCAAUUGUGAGAAGUUACAGACACGAGGACCUGUUUGUUUAUUGUUGAACACUUUGGAAUUAGCAGUACUAAAAGAAAGACGACUGUGACUAUACAUUAAACAUGAUGAUUUUGUUUGUAUUAGUGGAAGCGACUGUGAUUCUCAGCUUUUACAUGUCACCAAAGUCCUUAGAUUUCAAUGUCCUGCUUAUGCAUCGUAUCUUACCGUGGUAAACAUAUAUCUUUAGUGCAAGUUAUGAUUUUGUUGUGAAUAUGACAUGUUGAUUUAACUAGAGGUAGGGCCUACUGUCAUACUGUAGUAUUAUGUGGUUAUGCUCCUACAGCUCAGAGAGUAGCAAGUUUUGGCUGAAAGUUAGGAAUCUUGAAGGGUAUUACAGUCUUACUGAUAGUCUUACCUGAAUUUUCUUGUUGAAGUUCCUUUGGCUUCUCUUGCUGCGAUACCUCUCAAUUCUUUCUUUUUUCUCCUCAGGACUGUAGCGACAUGCCUUUGUCAUACCUUCAAUAAUAAUGCUCGCACUUUCAUUUGCCAACGGACUUCCUACUGGGUGGUGAUGUUGGUGGCGUAGAGCUUUGGCUCCCUGUCAUGAGAAUGAUCAACCAUGUUAGGUCGUGAAGGCUGGCGGGAGAAGAAUCAGGCAAAUAGAACCCGUUUUUGUGGAGUGAGUGGUUACUUAAGCUUCGCUGCAUCAAAGUGGCAGUAGCAUUUGGUGGGUGAUGACUACUAGUACAGCUUAGAGGUGAAUUUGGCGAGCCUAUGUAACUACUAGUAGUACACCCACUCCCAGCACUUGUAUUCGCGUUGGCGUUUGUGAGCAUGAAAGCUUCAUUGAUAGAGUCGAAGUCGCCUACAAGAGACUGGACUAACAGAGGUGAUAAACUGGAAGGGUAGUUUUGGUUGAUGCUAUCAGAGGAAUGAUCAUAGUAAGAACUGUUAUUUUGACCGUACAUGGUAUUUAUGUUGUGUUUUUAGGGAAGAAAGGGUAUAGAAAAUGUUCAAAUGAAUAAGAAUCAAGAUACUUUGUGCUCUUGCCAACACAAGGACAUAUAUAUAUGAGAAUGUUAUUACGAACUUUAAUACA